AUUAAACGCUGGCGGCAGGCCUAACACAUGCAAGUCGAGCGGAUGAAGGGAGCUUGCUCCUGGAUUCAGCGGCGGACGGGUGAGUAAUGCCUAGGAAUCUGCCUGGUAGUGGGGGAUAACGUCCGGAAACGGGCGCUAAUACCGCAUACGUCCUGAGGGAGAAAGUGGGGGAUCUUCGGACCUCACGCUAUCAGAUGAGCCUAGGUCGGAUUAGCUAGUUGGUGGGGUAAAGGCCUACCAAGGCGACGAUCCGUAACUGGUCUGAGAGGAUGAUCAGUCACACUGGAACUGAGACACGGUCCAGACUCCUACGGGAGGCAGCAGUGGGGAAUAUUGGACAAUGGGCGAAAGCCUGAUCCAGCCAUGCCGCGUGCGUGAAGAAGGUCUUCGGAUUGUAAAGCACUUUAAGUUGGGAGGAAGGGCAGUAAGUUAAUACCUUGCUGUUUUGACGUUACCAACAGAAUAAGCACCGGCUAACUUCGUG
rnacentral:rRNA from 1 species